AGUGAACGCUGGCGGUAGGCCUAACAAAUGCAAGUCGAACGGCAGCACAGUAAGAGCUUGCUCUUACGGGUGGCGAGUGGCGGACGGGUGAGGAAUACAUCGGAAUCUACUUUUUCGUGGGGGAUAACGUAGGGAAACUUACGCUAAUACCGCAUACGACCUACGGGUGAAAGCAGGGGAUCUUCGGACCUUGCGCGAUUGAAUGAGCCGAUGUCGGAUUAGCUAGUUGGCGGGGUAAAGGCCCACCAAGGCGACGAUCCGUAGCUGGUCUGAGAGGAUGAUCAGCCACACGGGAACGGAGACACGGUCCAGACUCCUACGGGAGGCAGGAGUGGGGAAUAUUGGACAAGGAGCGCAAGCCUGAUCCAGCCAUACCGCGUGGGUGAAGAAGGCCUUCGGGUUGUAAAGCCCUUUUGUUGGGAAAGAAAAGCAGCAGGUUAAUACCCCGCUGUUCUGACGGUACCCAAAGAAUAAGCACCGGCUAACUUCGU
rnacentral:rRNA from 1 species